rnacentral:rRNA from 1 species
UUUCGGGGUGCACCAGGCGCGAAACUUUUGCAAUAGGCGAAAGCUUGACAGGGUUAUUUUGAGUGAUUUCCGUUAAGGAGAUCUUUUGGCACCUCUAAAAAUGGUGCAGAAUAAGGGGUGGGCAAUUUUGGUGUCAGCCGCCGCGGUAAUACCAGCACCCCGAGUGGUCGGGACGUUUAUUGGGCUUAAAGCUUCGGUAGCCGGUUUUACGAUUCUUCCGUUAAAUCCAACUGCUUAACAGGUGGGCUGCGGAAGAUACUAUAAAGUUAGGAGGCGGGAGAGGCAAGCGGUAUUCGAUGGGUAGGGGUAAAUUCCGUUGAUCCAUUGAAGACCACCAGUGGGGAAGGCGGCUUGCCAGAACGCUUUGGACGGUGAGGGAUGAAAGCUGGAGGAGCAAACCGGAUUAGAUACCCGGGUAUUCCCAGCUGUAAACGAUGCAGAUUCGGUGAUGAGUUGGCUAUAUGCCAUCUCAGUCCCGCAGGGAAGCCGUUAAUUUUCCCCCCUGGGGAGUACGGUCGCAAGACUGAAACUUAAAGGAAUUGGCGGGGGACCAAAGGGCAAUUCGCG